GACGAACGCUGGCGGCGCGCUUAACACAUGCAAGUCGAGCGAAGCGGCGGACGGGUGACUAACACGUGAGUAACCUGCCUUAGACAUUGGGAUAGCCUCGGGAAACCGGGAUUAAUACCAAAUGGUCUAAGAUGGACUCGCGUCCCAUUAUUUAGUUGGUGAGGGAACGGCCCACCAAGGCGACGAAGGGUAGCCGGCGUGAGAGGGUGAACGGCCACAUUGGAAGUGAGAAACGGUCGAAAAUCUACGGGAGGCAGCAGUGGGGAAUAUUGCACAAUGGAGGGAAGUCUGAUGCAGCGACGCUGCGUGAACGAAGAAGGCGUUCGAGUUGUAAAGUUCGUUUAUAUGGGAAGCGGUACCAUAAGAAAAAGCCCCGGCUAACUACGUGCCAGCAGCCGCGGUAAUAC
rnacentral:rRNA from 1 species